UGCCCUGGGGUUGGAGUCACCCAAGCCUUUUGGAGCUUGCAACCAGAUUGCUUCAGAUGCUGAGUAUGAAACUCUAGGACUUAAUGUUUGUCCUGCUGGAUGUUGGACUUGCUUUGUUUCCAAUAAUUUAUAUUCCCCUAUUUUUAACUUAUGGAAUGGUAAUGUUUAUCUUGUGCCUUUGCAUUUCAGAAAUGUUUAACCUUGUUUCAUUUGUACAGGGGGGUUACAUUUAAGAGUUUGCCAUAGAUAUGGGAGGAGACUUGGGACUUGGACUUCUCAGCAGUGCUGAAACUGUUAGGACUUUAGCAGUUCUUGGAGACAGACUAAAUGUCUUUUGUAUAUAAGAUGUAUAUGAGUCCUGGGGGCCAGGGAUGGAAUGUCUUGGUUUAUGUCAGUGGCCUGUAGGCCUCAUGUGUUUGUAUUAUGUAUUUGUGAUUGGUUUAUUGUCUAGAGCUUGGAUUGAUGGUGUCAGUGCUACACCCACAUAAGGAUGGAGCCAGGAUGUGAUGUAAUGGCAGGAAGAAGGUGUGUCUUGCUCUCUUGCUGAUUUCGACCUUCCUGUUUGCAGCUGCCAUGAACUGUGGCCCUGCCAUGCCACCCUGCCUUGGAGCCAACUGAGUAUGGAUUAAAGCCUCCAAAAACUAUAAGAAAUAAACCUUUCCUUUCCCAACUUUGGACAUCAGGAUGAAGAUUGCCUAAAAAUCAUUGACAAUGAUUCUUUGGCCAGUACCAAAGAAUCAUGAGCUGGACCAAGUAAGCAUCAACUUGUCAUCUCCAGUAAUUAGAAGAGUUAGAAUCUUGCAACAGACUCAAAACACAAAAGCCAUUUACACCUAGAAGACAUCUUUAAGAAGCAGUCAUUUUCUAAGGGUUAUAAGCACCAGCAAUAAAGCUACUCACCAUAAGAAAUUUAUAAGAAUCAGCCUAGGAAUACAAAAUACACUUAAACAAUAUAUGGGGAGGGGUCACACACACUAGCCCAGCCCAGGUGGGACUCCAGUGAUUCAGCAAGGCCCAAGUGGAGGUACACUUGCUGGCCCAGCUCAGGCAGGCUCCCAGAGAUCCAGCAAGGCCCUGGUAGGGCACACAUAUGGGCAGGUAGGAUUGGUGGUGUGGAAAUGUCCAAAAAAAAAGUGAGAAUAUAAGCCAGCAGCUGGUAACUGACCAAUGUUGUUCUUUGGCACAGACACGUGUGGAACAGAAGCAGGUGGGCAGGCCACCACUUUUUACCAAAGGGCUUAGGGAGAACUCUAACAUAAAACCAUUCCCAGCUACCAUAUCCAGAGACCAAGAUCAGCCCUAUACCCAGCACAAAUCCCAAUGGAAACUUGACUCGAGUACACAGCACAGUUCUGGGAUCUGACUUGAACCAACUACAGAACUAUAGGCACCAAAGAUAUUUUAUUACUGUUAUUUUUCUCUGUUUGAUUUGUUUUCCUCUUUGUGUCUAGUUGAGUCUUUGGUUUUGUUUUGUCUUGUUUAGUGUUUUCGAGGUUAGAUUUGAUUUUUUAUCUUAUCUCUAUCUUUUAGUUUUUCUUUCAUAACUUAGAUUUCUUAUGUUUUUUUCUACUCAUCUUACGUCUCUCUUUCCUGAAGUAUUUUAUUUGAUUUUAUAAUAGAUUCAUGUGAGUAAAUAUUGUCUCUUCUCUUUCAACUUCAAUUCAAUACUCCUUUGCUUCCUCUUGCAUUUUUCCUCCUGUGCCUUCCAGUUUUCCAAAACUUGGAUGACCAUGCUCUGCUCUUGAACUUACUACAUUUGACCUCAUUUAUCUCUACCUUGUCCCUUGUACCUCUUAACCCCCACCUCUGCAACAGGUUAAAAUUAUACCAUUAAGAGGGAAAUCAUUGCGUGCAAAUUUCUGGUAUAUGCUGAAUUUUGUUAUAUAACUAUAGAAUUUACUUCUGUGGUUAAAGGUAUCAUGUUAACACAGAUUGUCAGCAGUCAGGCUGUGCUUGAGAAUAUUGUUAUUGUGAUCUGUACUACUUUAAACAGAAUGUCAUAAGCAGUUUUUCUUCUCUGUAUGACAACACUGUGAUUUUAUGGCAUCAUAACUAUCACAGCAGGUCAGUACCAAAGGACUGAGUACUGGGCCAAAUAGCAACUUCUUCCCCUUAAUACACUGGGAAGAUAGGUUCUAUAGACAAACACAAAGAACAAGAUCCACUUACAUCUAAAAGGCAUCCCUGGGAAACAGACAUUUCCUGGAGAAAUCUGGCUAAAGCUAUCUACCUUAAGAAAUCUACAAGCACCAACACAGAAAACAAACUAAAAUAAAAAAAUAGAAAAUGAUCAGAUACAGGAAACAAAACACAACGCCAUACUGCAGCCAACCCAGGACAAGUCCAGAGCACAAUGAGCUAGAGAAAAUUGGAAGUCAACCACUUGAACUUUUGGAAAUGAUAGCAACGAAGUGAAGAAAAAAAAAAAAAACAAAUAGAAGAGGCUAUAGAAAAAAAUCUUUAAGAAAUGAUUAUUAAACUGCAAGGCAUUAAGUCAAACACAGAUAAAAAAGCUAGAGAAGAUACAACCACAACUACAAACACACUAAACCACCUUAUCUUUGAUAAAGGGGCCAAACAUGAUCAUUGGAAGACCAACUUGUGUUCUGAGGAGUGUAGACUAGAUAGAAUUGCUCUUCAGGAACUGGAAAUAAGGGGAGUCUUAAGAGGCUGUAGGGCUGCCAUUUUUGCUUCCCUAUCAGCCUUUUGUCAUCCCAAGGAGACUUUAGGCAUGCCCCUUUGGUGCCCUUUACACUGCAUGACUACAACCUUCUUGAGAAGGUGGACUGCCUCUAGGAGUUGUAGAAUUUUCUGUUCGUGCUUUAUAGAUGGAUGGUUGCUAGUAAGCAUCCUUCUUUACAGAUUGCUGAAGGGACAUGCAGUGUGAGAAAGGUAUAUUUGGAGUCUGUAUAGAUAUUUAUCUUCUUGGAUAUUUCCUAAUAUCAGUGUCCAAGUGAGAACUAUUAACUCUACACUUUUGAGCAGAAGUCCCUAGGGGAGUUGUUUUGCUUCAGUGAUCAUUUGGAACUGUCAUAUUAUUUUCCUGCUUUGGAUUCCCUUUCUUUUCCCUCUGUAUAACUUCUUGCCUUGUGAGUGGGUUCAUUCUAUUGUUGAAUUCACAGAAUUGUGGUCUUAAUUGUAGUUUCCUAGACUACCCUUCAAAAAUUUUUGAAUGCUGGCUUGGUGGUCAUAAAUGUCUUCAGUUGUUCUUUAUCACAUGAGUAUCUUAUUCCUCCAUCCAUUUUGAAGGAUUUUUUUUCUAGGUAUAUCAAUCUAGGGUGGAGGUUGCUGUCUUUUAUGGCUUGAAAUACUUCACUCCAAACUCUCCUUUACUAAGGAGUUUGAAUUGAGAAAUUUGUUGUGAUUCUAAUGGGGUUUCCUUUAUAGGUAAUUUGUUUCUUUCCUCUAACAGCUUUUGAUAUUCUGUUAUUGUGUUGAACUUCUGGAAUCUUGACUCUUACAUGCCUUUGUGUAGUUUUUUCUUUCCUUCCUGAUCAUGGCUAAUUGGAGUUCUGUAUACCAUGUCCUUAAUUAUCUGUAUGUCAAAUUCUUUUUUCCAUGCUUAGGAAGUUUUCUGCCUCUACUUCAUGAACAGUCUCUUUGUAGUAUCUUCUAAUUGUUCAUUGAUUCAGGUCAGUUUUAUGUUGUUAUUCUUUGUAACAUCUAGCAGUUGUAUUGAUAUUUCAUAGCCCCUUGAUAUCUUUAGUAAGUCUUUCAUUCAAUGACUAUCCUCAAACCUAUUUCCUAGACCUUGGGCCUUCAAAGUGUCAUGUCAGAUCAGGAGUAAAGAAUCUCUGACUCAGGGUUCUUCAACCCUGGCAAUGGUUGCCAGGUGUUUGAGGAAAUAAAAGAGAAGGAAAUAAAAAUGGAAUGAGCUGCCUCUGUUUCUGUAAGUAAUCCAUUGAUUCAUCCAUGAUGUCUAAGAUUACUAGAGUUACUCACAAGAAAUGGUUAUGUCCAUGGACAGAGGCAUUAUAGGUCCCCUUGAUUCUCCUCAACUUUCAUCAGAGUUGGAAAUGAGGGCUCUGGCUGGCCUGUCCUCUCUUUGGCAGUGGGGACAAUCAAUCUUCCAUUGCCAUGAGUCAGGCACAUUGGCUGCCUCAUACUUGAAGCAGGGCCCAGGUGGUAGCUUGAUGCAGUUGUGUGCUCAGGGUCCAGUAUUCUUGCACUUAAAACAGGAACUCUUUCCAUGGCCAAGCUUGGCUUUCCCCUUCAGUGAUUUGUGUGUGUUUAAAGCUUUGCCAUGUGUGACAGCUAUUUUAUCCUUUCUCUUUUGUCUCUCUUCUGUAUCUUGAUUGUUGAACAUAGAAAGAACAUGUCUAGCAAUUGGGUCACAGGUGUCACAGGUGUCUGUGACCCUCUAAUAUUUUUGUAAUUUAUCUUAACUGAGGCUGAUUUACAAAUUAAUGAUGUCCCACCAGUGUCUCUUCCUCUCUGGAAGAUGAUGUUAUUAUGUUUACAAAAAACUUCUACUAAUCAGAGGAUUUUCCUCUUUGCCUGUAUGACCCUGUUCACCUUACCAUAGUUAACAGAUUUCUUAAUAUGCCUUUUCAUUCCCAUAGUAAGAGCAGCCAUCAUAUCAGACAUCAUUUUUAGUCCCUCAGUAGUAUUAUAUUAUCAGUUUGGUUCUGUUGAAGGAAGAAUAGACUCUCCAAGGUGCUUUUCUUUUCUCUUAAAGCAUAUUGCUCACUUGCAUAAUUCUUAGCACUUUGUGGCCAAAAUGAAUUAAACAUCUUGCUAUGAUAAGUCAAAAGCAAGGGUCAAAUUUGUCAAUUUUUUGGAUAUCUGAAAGUUGACCUAGCAAUUCUUUGCAUUCCUGGAUACCUGCAACAGAAAAAUGAACCUGGACUUGAGUAGUUCCCUUUGCUUUGGUGGUGUCUCUCAGGGGCAGGGUGAGUUAUGCAUUAGAGGAGUAAGAAACAUCACUUCAGGUAUGUGAUGGGGGGCAGAAACUAUCUUUGUGCAGCCAAAGCAGCUUAAGGCUGUCUGAGAAGCAUGACGGGGGGGGGGGGGCUGAGGAACAUUGGCAUCUUCCAUGACACUAAGUUCCAGUGGUGUCAUAAUUUAUGUCAGUGGCCUCCAAGCCUCAUGAAUUAUGGACUGGACCAAAUCUAGCAUUUGUGAUGGAUUCAUUGUCUAGCACUUGGAUUGGUGGUAUGAGUGUUUCACCCAUGUAGGAGUGGAGCCAGGAUAUGAUGUAGUAGCAGAAAGAAGGUGUAUCUUUCUCUUUUGCUGGUUCAUGCCUGUUUGCAGCUGGCCAUGAAUGGCAGCCCACCACACCAGCCUGCCACUUGGAGCCAACUGAGUAUGGACUGAAACCUCCAGGAACUGUAAGAAAUAAACCUUUCCUUCUUUCAUGUUGGGCAUCAGGUAUUUUGUCUCAGCAAUGAGUAUAACUAAAACAAGUCCAGUGUCUGAGUCACUGGAAGGAGAUGGGAUGGAUUUACUGGCCUGAGGAUUAGAAGGAAGAGACUGAAGAGACUUCCCGAUGUGGUUGUCUUCAUUAAGCAGAUGAGAGGAACCCGUAUCCCCUGAGAGACAGGUGGGGAUCCCAAGACAGGAUCAUUAAUGGUAUCUCCUUCUUCGCCAGAGGCCACUCUACCAUAGGACCUGGGCUUUUUAUAAGAUAAAAGCAUUUACAAAAGUCUGAACAUAAAGGAUUUCACUCUACUGUCUAUGUUUUAAGUAGAAACGAUUUCACUGAAAAGUAGUAUAAUUUAAACUCCAUCUCCUACUCAUCUCUUACCAUUUCUUAGUUCAUACAGAACUCAAACUUGUUGGGAGCCAUUGAAGUUGGAGACUGAUCAUACUGCAAGGCUGGAUCAUGAUCGUUCCAAGAACAAAGAGCACCUGGGGCAAACCACGUGAAGAAGCUGCUUCAGCCCAGAGAGCACCUGGCCCCAAGACAAUCUGAACAGUGGGUUGUUAGGACAAUGGGCUGUCAUGUGACAUUAAGUUGCUAAAAUGUAUAAAUAAACACCCCUUCAGUGAGGAGCCAGUACCUUUCCUCCCAUCAGGAGCUUACUAAAUCUUGUUCAGCGGAGCCGAGUCUUAAAACGUCGGUUGGUUACCGUGGAAAGCUUCCUAGUGUUUCAGCAAAACCCUCCGCGCCCACCUAGCGGUAGAAAUCGGAACUGCAGGCACCGCGCCGGUUCAGAGGCUCCAAGUUGCUUUGAGGGGGUAGCGGCUCUGGGUUCCCCCUAGUAGCUGCCGCUUCGCUGGGGCGGUUUUGCAGACCCAGGAAGCGCAGGUCGUGCAAGCCCGCCUCCGAAGCCGGUGUUCUGCACCCCUCAGGAAUGCCCUGCUCAUUCUCUUACUGAGUUGGCCUGUACAAGUCUCCAAGCUUGGGAAUUCAAUAAACAAAAUAAGACUUAAAACCUCUGUUACUACUGACAGAGUUUAUCUGGACUGAAAUGACAAAA